UACGUAGGGUGCAAGCGUUAAUCGGAAUUACUGGGCGUAAAGCGUGCGCAGGCGGUGAUGUAAGACAGGUGUGAAAUCCCCGGGCUUAACCUGGGAACUGCAUUUGUGACUGGCGGGCUAGAGUAUGGCAGAGGGGGGUAGAAUUCCACGUGUAGCAGUGAAAUGCGUAGAGAUGUGGAGGAAUACCGAUGGCGAAGGCGGCCCCCUGGGCCGAACCUGACCGCUGAGGCGCGAAGGCUAGGGGAGCGAACGGG
rnacentral:rRNA from 1 species